AUUGAACGCUGGCGGCAGGCCUAACACAUGCAAGUCGAACGAGUGGCGGACGGGUGAGUAAUGUCUGGGAAACUGCCUGAUGGAGGGGGAUAACUACUGGAAACGGUAGCUAAUACCGCAUACCAUCGGAUGUGCCCAGAUUGGAUUAGCUAGUAGGUGGGGUGACGGCUCACCUAGGCGACGAUCCCUAGCUGGUCUGAGAGGCUGACCAGCCGCACUGGAACGGAGGCACGGUCCAGACUCCUACGUGAGGCAGCAGUGGGGAAUAUGGCGCAAUGGGCGCAAGCCAGAUGCAGCCAUGCCGCGUGUAUGAAGAAGGCCUUCGGGUUGUAAAGUAAUUUCAGCGGGGAGGCGUUACUCGCAGAAGAAGCACCGGCUAACUCCGUGCCAGCAGCCGCGGUAAUUC
rnacentral:rRNA from 1 species